rnacentral:rRNA from 1 species
ACGGAAGGCAGCAGUGGGGAAUAUUGCACAAUGGGCGAAAGCCUGAUGCAGCAACGCCGCGUGAAGGAUGAAGGUCUUCGGAUUGUAAACUUCUGUCCUUGGGGAAGAUAAUGACGGUACCCUUGGAGGAAGCCCCGGCUAACUACGUGCCAGCAGCCGCGGUAAUACGUAGGGGGCAAGCGUUAUCCGGAAUUAUUGGGCGUAAAGAGUGCGUAGGUGGUUACCUAAGCAGGGGGUGAAAGGCAGUGGCUCAACCAUUGUUAGCCCCCUGAACUGGGCUACUUGAGUGCAGGAGAGGAAAGCGGAACUCCAUGUGUAGCGGUGAAAUGCGUAGAUAUAUGGAAGAACACCAGUGGCGAAGGCGGCUUUCUGGACUGUUACUGACACUGAGGCACGAAAGUGUGGGGAGCAAACAGGAUUAGAUACCCUGGUA